GCGCUCAUAGCUCAGCUGGAUAGAGCAACGCCCUUCUAAGGCGUAGGCCAGAGGUUCGAAUCCUCUUGGGCGUACCA
rnacentral:tRNA from 2 species